rnacentral:lncRNA from 1 species
GUGCGCCCCUGCUUCCCCUCCUCCUGCUUCACCGAGAUCACCACCGGGGCUCCUGGAGGUGGCGGUCCCCAGGACACUCCGGGAGCCGGCGGGGUCUCGCUGGGUCGCUCCGCCCGGAGGCUCCCCAGACCCCUGCGCGCGGCAGCCCUGGCCCCCGUCACCCCCGAGCGCAAGUCGGCGAACUCCGAGUGGUCAGGUCCUCCCCACCGAGGUGAUUUCGGUCCAACGGCGAUCGGAGUCCCCGAGGACGGUGCAGGCGCCUCCCGCCUCCGUGGGGAGCGCACAGCAGAAAGCCUGGGGCGGAAGCAAGAGGGGAAAGGCGGUGGUGUUGAGUCACUUCAUCCUGGCCCAGGUACUGCAGCUCCAAAUCGUGGGGAUUCUGUAAGAGCUUGCUACCUGUUGACUGAGGAGGCCCACGAGUUGAGAAGAACUAGCAAGAGUGGUACAAAACUGCAGGUCAUUGGGCUGGCCACCAGGUAUUCCCACCCACCAGAAGCUGGCUGUUGUACUCACCCGGAACCAUGGUGCACCACCACAGCGGCGAGGUCAUACAGGCAGCUCUCCGGGCCACUGUUCUCAGGCUACAGAACAAGGAAGAAGGAGCAGUGGUCAAUGACAUCAGUAUCUCGAUGACCUCUACCCUCUCCAUGUGAUGACAAUCUUACUGAAGAGCCAUUUUUUCACCAUGCUAAAAAGGGAAGAGGAGCACAGCAGUAACGCUGAUGGGAAGAAGGUGCUGACAGAUGGACUCACUGGGGUCACGGCAACAAUCGACAGUACAGGUGGCAAACAUUGUGUAAAAUACUCCAAAUCCAAGACACACAUUUAUAAAAGUCUGUAACAGGUGAAAGAAUAAACUCCAGCUGCCCUCAACACCUAGGGCAUGGAGACCUCCCUGACUGCUUCGUCAGGCCUACUGGGGCCCACACGUAUUUGAAGUUAACCGAGGAGCUCUACUUCCUUGGAAAUCCCCAUUGCUCCUCCAGCAGAGGUGGGCUGGACACUGCUCCUGGCAAAGCUGGCCGGGAAGAUGCAGCCCGUGGGACACUCCCCACCACCACUCUCACAGUCUGACUGACUGCGAAGCUUCACAGACCAGAAGGUUCAUUCCUCACAAGAAAAGGAAAACCCUGGUCUGAUACUACUGUUCUGAAAUUUAACAAAUUUCCACAUGAAUUAUGUCUUUGAAACAUCAGAACUAGUGACAGUUGCUUCAAACCUCAAAAUGUUCUUCAGAACUGUGUGUCUCUCUCUUACAGUACUGGUAGCCACAAGAUGAAGAGACCAAUUCCAUACUCUAUAGUGUUCAACUAUUCCUUCACAAAUUCUGUGAAGUGGGGAAGG